UGCCCCAUGGCUGAGUUGGUUACAGCGUCCGACUGUUAUUCGUUUGGCCGGGUAAAUAAUCGGAAGGUCGAGAGUUCGAGCCUCUCUGGGGCAG